CCCUUAGAUGUUCUGGGCUGCACGCGCGCUACAAUGGCAGACUCAGCGAGUUACCUCUGUCGAAAGGCACAGGGAAUCUUUACAGUAUCUGCCGUGAUGGGGAUAGACCCUUGUAAUUUUUGGUCUUCAACGAGGAAUUCCUAGUAAACGCAAGUCAUUAACUUGCAUUGAUUACGUCCCUGCCCUUUGUACACACCGCCCGUCGCACCUACCGAUUGAAUGGUCCGGUGAAGUCCUCGGACCCAGUUGAACCUCGAGUUGAACAGGGAAAGUUGACUAAAUCUUACCAUUUAGAGGAAGGUGAAGUCGUAACA
rnacentral:rRNA from 1 species